rnacentral:lncRNA from 10 species
AGGAGUUGAAAGCCAGAUCAUAAGAUAUUUGAAGAGACACAGUAACCUCUCAAAAUGAGGCCAAUUUUCUUAGAUCAGGCUUUUCACUUGAGUGCUGUACAUGUGUGUCCUUCAGGUACUGAUGAAGCCUCUACAGAGCUCUCUUCUCAGCCUUGCUCUGCCAUUUCUGCUGCUACUGCAGCAGUGACACUGGAAUCCCUGAAGCAUCAAAUCUUGAAUUGGAGGAAAAGUCUCAACAGUUCAGAUAACUGGACCCAUUCCAGACUGCUAAGACCUACAACCCCAAAUUCUUCACCAGACCACAAGCACAGUUAAUGCAACUGGUAGAAUAUGUUCCGGGAACAUGUGAAAUACCACUUUGAAGACUCUCAGAAGUGAGACUAAUGCUUUUUUCAUAGUUGCUGAAUGGGACCAAAGGACAAACAAUAGCCUGUGGACAAGUUAUGAGAGGUGAAGACCCGCCUGUGU